UUAUGUAUCCAUGCCACCCUGGUAAUGCCUGAUUUUAGAAGCUAAGCAGAGUUGGGUCUGGUUAGUACUUGGACAGAUUCCCACCUGGGAAUGCCAGGUGCUUUGG
rnacentral:rRNA from 1 species